GAUGAACGCUGGCGGCGUGCCUAAUACAUGCAAGUCGAGCGAACAGACGCGGAGCUUGCUCCUCUGACGUUAGCGGCGGACGGGUGAGUAACACGUGGAUAACCUACCUAUAAGACUGGGAUAACUUCGGGAAACCGGAGCUAAUACCGGAUAAUAUAUUGAACCGCAUGGUUCAAUAGUGAAAUACGGUUUUGCUGUCACUUCUAGAUGGAUCCGCGCCGCAUUAGCUAGUUGGUAAGGUAACGGCUUACCAAGGCAACGAUGCGUAGCCGACCUGAGAGGGUGAUAGGCCACACGGGAACUGAGACACGGUCCAGACUCCUGCGGGAGGCAGCAGUAGGGAAUCUUCCGCAAUAGGCGAAAGCCUGACGGAGCAACGCCGCGUGAGUGAUGAAGGUGUUCGGAGCGUAAAAAUCUGUUAUUAGGGAAGAACAAAUGUGUAAGUAACUAUGCACGUCUUGACGGUACCUAAUCAGAAAGCCACGGCUAACUACGUG
rnacentral:rRNA from 1 species